rnacentral:rRNA from 1 species
AUCUUGGACAAUGGGGGCAACCCUGAUCCAGCGACGCCACGUGGGUGAUGAAGGCCUUCGGGUUGUAAAGCCCUUUUGCCGGGGGCGAUGAUGACGGUACCCGGCGAAUAAGCACCGGCUAACUCCGUGCCAGCAGCCGCGGUAAGACGGAGGGUGCUAGCGUUGUUCGGAAUUACUGGGCGUAAAGGGCGCGUAGGCGGCCGGCUGCGUCGGAUGUGAAAGCCCGGGGCUCAACCCCGGAACGGCAUCCGAUACGGGCUGGCUGGAGACCGGGAGAGGAGGGUGGAAUAGCCAGUGUAGAGGUGAAAUUCGUAGAUAUUGGCUGGAACACCGGUGGCGAAAGCGGCUCUCUGGCCCGGUUCUGACGCUGAGGCGCGAAGGCGUGGGGAGCAAAC